rnacentral:tRNA from 1 species
GCCGGAGUGGCGGAACGGCAGACGCAGCUGACUCAAAAUCAGCCGGGGAUUUCCCCGUGGGGGUUCAAGUCCCUUCUCCGGCACCA